UGUUAAAAAUUACAUCUAUUUUUACUGUUAAAAACUAACGUGGCUAACAAAAUAACUAGACAAUUACAUGUGGUGUGCAAGGUGUACCUCAUUCUAUGUACAUAGAUCAGUUUUUAACAUUAAAAAUGGAUGAAAUUUUCAACA
rfam:Gossypium raimondii Chr01_contig_158, whole genome shotgun sequence.